AGAUCCGAUUCGAAUCUGAUUCGAAGCCAAUUUGAAAUAAUUUCGAAAGGCUAUCAAUCCUAAACUCUUUAGGACUUUUAUACCAAGUCUAACUUGGAUUUUAAAUCUAUUUAAGUCUAAUUAAUUCAAAUUUAAUCUAAAAUUAAUUAGUACUUAAAUCUAAUCUUCCAUAUAUUCCAUGGAUCAUAGAUAGAAAUUGUUUAUCCCCGGGA
rnacentral:lncRNA from 1 species